UGGGGAAUAUUGCACAAUGGGCGCAAGCCUGAUGCAGCCAUGCCGCGUGUAUGAAGAAGGCCUUCGGGUUGUAAAGUACUUUCAGUCGGGAGGAAGGUGGUAAGGUUAAUAACCUUAUCAAUUGACGUUACCCGCAGAAGAAGCACCGGCUAACUCCGUGCCAGCAGCCGCGGUAAUACGGAGGGUGCAAGCGUUAAUCGGAAUUACUGGGCGUAAAGCGCACGCAGGCGGUUGAUUGAGUCAGAUGUGAAAUCCCCGGGCUUAACCCGGGAAUUGCAUCUGAUACUGGUCAGCUAGAGUCUUGUAGAGGGGGGUAGAAUUCCAUGUGUAGCGAUGAAAUGCGUAGAGAUGUGGAGGAAUACCGGUGGCGAAGGCGGCCCCCUGGACAAAGACUGACGCUCAGGUGCGAAAGCGUGGGGAGCAAACAGG
rnacentral:rRNA from 1 species